rnacentral:misc_RNA from 1 species
CCGAGUGAGGGCCCCCUCGCGGGCCCAACCUCCCACCCGUGUCUCUCUCAUACCCUGUUGCUUUGGCGGGCCCACCGGGGAACCCUGGUCGCCGGGGGGCACUACGCCCCCGGGCCCGCGCCCGCCGGAGCGCCUAUUGAACCCUGCAAGAGGUUGGCUGUCUGAGUAAGAUGUGAAUUGUCA